CGUGUGUCUAACCAGAGAACCAUGAGUGUGUUUAUCAGAGGGUCUGAUGAGCCGGGUGUUGAACGCGGAGGGGGCAGACAACGGUCUGGAUGUGGGGGUCAGCCUGUUGACCUUUGGGCUCCUACCCCAACGGGUGCUCCUACAUGGAGAGGCGGGGGAUCCUGACCCCGGGAAUGAGGCGACGCCCUCAUCCACAAGACCUCCGUCGACUGUCCUUCAGCAGCCAGGACAUGACCUUCCCCUCGCCCUGCUUCGACUUCGGGGAGAAGUGAUGAAGGGGUGAAUGGAGACUCCACUGUUGUGUUGGAGGUAACGACUCCAGAAGACUUGGAGGAUUUCAACUGAACUACCGGGAAGAAUCGUCUGAACACACGAGAACGUUCAUUUGACGCACUGAGUAGUUUAUUAACAUUAUGAUUUAUGAACAAUUACAAAUCAUAAGGCAUCUUUAAUGACUGAACAUGUUGACUUGUUCCCAAAAGAACACAAAGAAACGAUCAUCCGUUGAAAGUAAUUUACAACAUUGUUACCCUUUCCCAUAGAACUCUUAUCAUCAUUCAUGAUUAUGUUGUUAAAUCUGCUUUAAAUCACUUUCCAUGUCAGGCAUGGCAAAAUAUAAACUGAUUUUGGAUUCCUUCAAAACGAUGUUGAAAAUAUAUAAAAUAUUGUAG